GUCUACAGCCAUGCGAUCCUGAACAAGCACAAUCCCAUCUGAUCUCAGAAGCUAAACAGGGUCAGGCCUGGUUAGCACUUGAAUGGGAGGCCAUCUAGGAAGACCAGGUACUAUAGGCG
rnacentral:rRNA from 1 species